AGUUUCUGAUUUAUUUUCAUCCUUUUUAAUUUUCCUUCUCCUCAUUAGGGCUGUGAAUCCCCUCUCUGGGAACCUGGAACUUCCUAUGCAUGAAGAAAAACUGUUUACAUGAAAGAAAGCUGUGGGGAGAGAUCAAGAACCAUGAAUCAUGCAAAGCCUUGCUCAGCUGAAGGCAUCAAGCAGGCAUCAAGCCACAAGGGAGAGAAUCCUGGCUUGCAGUCCAAAGGCUUUUCCACAGGUAGCACUUUGCCCAAAAUCCCAUCCCAGUUCGCUUUUCUCAAGAUAAUUUUUUGUGCCUUCUGGCUCUGUGUUCAGCCUUUUUUUUGUCCUUAAUGCCCCAUUGUUUUAUCUUGCUUUUUUUCCCCCCAAACCCACAAAAACUCAACAACUGUUAAAUCUACUGAACUGUGAGUCUGUAGGUAUGUGUUGGAGCUCCCAUGGUUUCAGCUGUCAGAUCCUGGGAAGUUAUUUACAGAAGAACAUAAUGGCCAUAAGCAUUAGUGGAAAACCAAGAAAUUAACUGUCAGAGACACUUCAAAGAUGUUUUCAGUCUUUGCAGCUAAGAACUGAUUACUUCUUUGUUAUCAAUAUUUUUUCCAUAAAGUUUGAUUCCAUUGCUGUCAUGAACUUCCUAAAAUGAAAGCGUCAAAAUAAAUUUUUAUUUUGG
rnacentral:lncRNA from 1 species